GCCGAAAUAGCUCAGUUGGGAGAGCGUUAGACUGAAGAUCUAAAGGUCCCAUGUUCGAUCCUGGGUUUUGGCA